GUCUAUGGCCAUGCCACCCUGAAUGUGCCAGAUCUCGGAAGCUAAGCAGGUUUGGGCCUGGUUAGUACUUGGAUGGGAGACCACCUAGGAAUACCAGGUGCUGUAGCAU
rnacentral:rRNA from 1 species